rnacentral:lncRNA from 1 species
GUCAUUUUGCUCUGUGGAGGGUGAUCAGCUUUCCCAGGGCCUGUCAUAUUAGGAAAGAAUGGUUCUUGCUUCUCCUCCCUACCAUGCACAUUCUGUUGGAAUGAUUGUCACUGUUUGGGAGUGGGUAUAGGCACGACAUAAUAUAGGAAAGAAAAAGGGAAACCUUUAUCUAGGCUGAGCAUAAUUGUAGUAUAGGGUCGGGAAAUCAAUACCCAUUAUUUUCCUAGGUUUUCUAAUGGUUACCUUGAGGCUAUUAUGGUGACUACACAGUAUUCUUGGAGGCGGGGGUCUGCGUUUUCUAGUUCCUUAACCUCAUAUCCAAUUUAAGACCUCUGGACUAGAAGCUGUAUUUUAGCUAUUCCAGUCUCUGCACAGAAUAAGACCAGGUAGGGGUAUAGUACAAUUAAAUUUCUUCUUACCAGCCAGAUUAAGAAUCUAAUUAGUCAAUUUUUCCCUUCCUCCGGAGCAAUCUAGCCUUGAUUUGCAGAGGGUAAUCCUUUGCAGUAAAGAAAAAUCAGUGUUGGGGUUUGUCUUUAAAAUGUUCUGUUUAUUCCACCUUCAGUCUCAAUCCUUCCCCACAGCCCUUAUUUUUUAGCCAUUUCUGUUCUUGAACUCCCUGUUCUUAAAAUUUGC